UACGUAGGGUGCGAGCGUUGUCCGGAAUUAUUGGGCGUAAAGGGCUCGUAGGCGGUUUGUCGCGUCGGGAGUGAAAACCCAGGGCUUAACCCUGGGCUGGCUUCCGAUACGGGCAGACUAGAGGUAUGCAGGGGAGAACGGAAUUCCUGGUGUAGCGGUGAAAUGCGUAGAGAUCGGGAGGAACACCCGUGGCGAAGGCGGCCAGCUGGGAUACACCUGACGCUGAGGCACGAAGGCGUGGGGAGCGAACGGG
rnacentral:rRNA from 1 species